AUUGAACGCUGGCGGCAUGCCUUACACAUGCAAGUCGAACGGUAACGCGGGGCAACCUGGCGACGAGUGGCGAACGGGUGAGUAAUGCAUCGGAACGCGCCCGGUAGUGGGGGAUAACUGCUCGAAAGAGCAGCUAAUACCGCAUACGACCUGAGGGUGAAAGGGGGGGAUCGCAAGACCUCUCGCUAUCGGAACGGCCGGUGUCGGAUUAGGUAGUUGGUGGGAUAAAAGCCCACCAAGGCAACCAUCCGUAGCUGGUCUGAGAGGACGACCAGCCACACUGGGACUGAGACACGGCCCAGACUCCUACGGGAGGCAGCAGUGGGGAAUUUUGGACAAUGGACGCAAGUCUGAUCCAGCCAUGCCGCGUGCGGGAAGAAGGCCUUCGGGUUGUAAACCGCUUUUGUCAGGGAAGAAAUCUUCUGAGUUAAUACCUCGGGAGGAUGACGGUACCUGAAGAAUAAGCACCGGCUAACUACGUGCCAGCAGCCGCCGUAAAAC
rnacentral:rRNA from 1 species